AAAGCCAACUCAACCUGCAGAAGGAAGAUAAGGCAGUUAGCCAGAUCACCAGGGAAGUUUCAAUUCAGAAGCCAGUAACUCAAGAGAAGUGGGAAAAAAAUUUCAGUCAACACCAUUUAAAAAUAAGAGACUGCAGGACAAACUGCUUUGAUGGGAAAACUACUAAAAAUCAAUUUAUUGCAGCUUGUGAAACUUUUCUUUAUAUUCAUGACCACUGACAAUUCUCUGAAAGGACAUAAAAGCCACCAGCAGAAAAGCAAGACUGAAGAACCAAAGGGAUUAGUCUCCAAAGGGCUGGGAAUCUCUCUGACAAGCAGGGCAGAUGCUGCUGAUGUGCACUACAUAAAUCAAACCCCUUUGAAGCUUAUCAGUCACCUGUUCUGGAGAUGAUCCUGCACUCUUGCCAGGAGUAAGUAUGAAAAGAAGAUUCUCUCCAGGAACUAGUCUUUGUGAAUCACAAUACCAGGUCCUUACUGAAACAGGGGACUUUACUCACCACUCCAUUCCAAAGGCUAGCAGCCCUGUGCCCUCAGCAGCAUCCAGCACAUAAAGCAGUUUGACAGUCCUGCAAAAUAGACCUGUUUCCAACUACAGCACUACGUGGGUGCAGCUGAUGAUUGAUAAGAAAAACAUCCCAAGAGCUAACUCCUUCAUGUUCUUGCAAGACACAGAUUCACUGGAGUCUCCACCUGCCUUUUAAAGCUGUCCUCUUUAAAUUUAAUACAAAUUACAUUGAUUUUGUACUGGCUUAGUUUCUCACCGAAAAUGAUGUGUAAUUACUGUCAAGUGCUAACUGAAGGCUAAGAUGAACAUCUAUACUUAAGAAGCAAACUGAGACAAUUAAUACUAAUUGUUUCUGUUUCCCCCAUUCCAGGUUGAGUGACAUUGCCUUAAUUCUUUCCUGAAGGCUCUGUUACUUAUUCCAUGAUUGUACCUGGGAUUGAUGUCUUAGUCUGAUUGGAUUAUAAUCAUUAAGGUUGUCCUACUUCUCUUUAUUAUUACUGCAUAUUAGCAUUCUUUCAAACUUCUGACAUUGCUGUAGGAUGUAAAGAGUUUUCUGGAAAACAAAUAAAUUACAUAACCCCCCUCCAUUCUCAGCCAUGGGACCUUCAGAGCUGAGAUUCAUAUCGAAGCAGAGGUGACUGUUACCAAGUCUGGUUGGAUUAGGUGUGCAACACCAUUCAACUUCCUUUUUUUUAAUUUAAAGAGACAGUCAAACCACCUGAUUAAAGGGAAGUUCCCUGUGUACAAAUAAAUAACAAGUGAAAGAUUGGAAAUGGACAGAAAGAAGUGCUCAUCUCUCGCAGCAGACCAGCAGUGGAACCUGCACACCUCAACAUUCCCAAAUGACCUAUAAAAGCAAGGAAAGAUAGAAAUACCACAAAAUUUACUGAUGAUGCCAAGAUGUUCACGAGCUUAUUGUGAUGAAUUUCAGAACCUUAACAGCCUCUGUGCUUAAGCAAUAAAACUUGAUAUAGAUAAAUGUGAAGUGAUACACAAGGUAAAAACAGAUUCAACUUCCUACAUGAAAUGAUGGACUGGGAGCUGAUGACUUCUACUCAAGAGCCAGAAUUAGUUUACAGAUUUUAAACAGAAAUGCCAGUGACGUGUGGCCAGAGACCUGGGUAAAGCCAGACCAAGGCAGGAGGAAGGCACACAGAUGCAUUAG